rnacentral:rRNA from 1 species
CCUACGGGACGCAGCAGUGGGGGAUAUUGCACAAUGGGGGAACCCUGAUGCAGCGACGCCGCGUGGGCGAUGGAGUGCUUCGGCAUGUAAAGCCCUAUCAGCAGGGAAGAAAAUGACGGUACCUGACUAAGAAGCUCCGGCUAACUACGUGCCAGCAGCCGCGGUAAUACGUAGGGGGCGAGCGUUAUCCGGAUUCAUUGGGCGUAAAGCGCGCGUAGGCGGCCGCCUAAGCGGGACCUCUAACCCCGGGGCUCAACCCCGGGCCGGGUCCCGGACUGGGCGGCUCGAGUGCGG